UACGAGAGCGACGAACGUUAUCCGGAAUUACUGGGCGUAAAGCGUCUGUAGGGGGAUGUUCAGGUCGGGUGUAAAAGCCAACGGCUCAACCGUUGCGACAGCAUCCGAAACCGUUCAUCUAGAAGAUGGUAGGGGCUGAUGGAACUCCAGGAGUAGGGGUAAAAUCCGUAGAUACCUGGAAGAACACCAAUAGCGAAGGCAAUCAGCUGGGCCAUUCUUGACCCUGAGAGACGAAAGCGUGGGGAGCAAACGGG
rnacentral:rRNA from 1 species